UACGUAGGGGGCAAGCGUUGUCCGGAUUUAUUGGGCGUAAAGAGCGUGUAGGCGGCUUGAUAGGUCCGUUGUGAAAACUGGAGGCUCAACCUCCAGCUGUCGAUGGAAACCAUCUAGCUAGAGUCCGGAAGAGGAGAGUGGAAUUCCUGGUGUAGCGGUGAAAUGCGCAGAUAUCAGGAAGAACACCCGUGGCGAAGGCGGCUCUCUGGGACGUGACUGACGCUGAGACGCGAAAGCGUGGGGAGCGAACAGG
rnacentral:rRNA from 1 species